rnacentral:rRNA from 1 species
UAGGGAAUCUUCCACAAUGGACGCAAGUCUGAUGGAGCAACGCCGCGUGAGUGAAGAAGGUCUUCGGAUCGUAAAACUCUGUUGUUAGAGAAGAACACGAGUGAGAGUAACUGUUCAUUCGAUGACGGUAUCUAACCAGCAAGUCACGGCUAACUACGUGCCAGCAGCCGCGGUAAUACGUAGGUGGCAAGCGUUGUCCGGAUUUAUUGGGCGUAAAGGGAACGCAGGCGGUCUUUUAAGUCUGAUGUGAAAGCCUUCGGCUUAACCGGAGUAGUGCAUUGGAAACUGGAAGACUUGAGUGCAGAAGAGGAGAGUGGAACUCCAUGUGUAGCGGUGAAAUGCGUAGAUAUAUGGAAGAACACCAGUGGCGAAAGCGGCUCUCUGGUCUGUAACUGACGCUGAGGUUCGAAAGCGUGGGUAGCAAACAGGAUUAGAUACCCUGGUAGUCCAUGCCGUAAACGAUGAAUGCUAGGUGUUGGAGGGUUUCCACCCUUCAGUGCCGCAGCUAACGCAAUAAGCAUUCCGCCUGGGGAGUACGACCGCAAGGUUG